rnacentral:sRNA from 1 species
AGUUUUAAAAAUCGGAUGUGGAUGCUGUAAUGGUGCCGCGCUCAGAUAGCAGAGCCCCACGUGCUGAACCUGUCCUCCUGUUUGUUGGCCACUGGGAGGAAAAACAGGCCCGGCAGCUUCCCAAGCAGAGCCCUGGGGCCUCUUGCUUUGUGUUGUCUCCUGUACUACCAGUGGUGGCGGGGGCGGGUUUCACUUGCUGGGAAAAGGACACCUUGCGGCUGGGGCCUUGUUAUUCUGGGUGGUGGCCACCGUUUCUCCUGAACGUCGUGGUUGGAGAGGGUUUCUAACAGAUCUUCAGCUCAGUGCCAAGGUAAAGAAGAUAAUCACAGCUGGCUUAUCAAUAUUGCUGUUUGAUGCGAUCCUGACCAGUGCAGCCACGGGAUGCCUCCUGCUCGGUGCACUUGGAGAGGCCUUGCUGGUUUUCUCAGAGCGGAAGAGCUCCUGAACAAGACAGUCAAGAGAAGGAGACUCACAGGCUGCUGCGGGAGAACAUCGCCCCUAGUCUCAUAGCUCCCUGUUGAAUGUGUCAGAAAGAGGAACGCAAGGACAGUGAUGCCAGGU